AGGGCGACACUUUUUUUGCUAUACUUUGUAUACCAAACUUGAAUUUUUAUAUAAAUUGGCAAAAUUGUACGUCAAAAUGAAAAAAUUUAAACGUCGGAAACGUCGUAAUUGUCAAAUUUUGACUCGAACAAUUAUUUCCUAACCGCCAUAUUAUAUUGCAACCACCGAGUAACCACGCCCGGAAUUUUGGAUUUUUAGUUUUUUUCUGCAUAUAUAUUUUCUGAGCCCUAAUACUUUAUUGUGAGAAUAUUAUUCGUCGCUUCUAGGGAUUUACUAUGGAAAAUACAGUGAAACGUAAUGUGAGAUAUCAAAAAUGUACUAUUUGUGGUCUAAAGAGGACCCCUGGACUGGAGCCAAUGUAUUUUUGAAGAAGUUUCCACUUGAUCCAGAUCGUUUUCAAGAUAUAACAAAUUCAGAGAGUGUGCAAUGGAAUGAAAAUAUUUUAUCUAAAAUAUUUGAUAGCCCAUUUAUCAAGGAAGGCUAGGGCUAUAGGCUAUAUAUUAUCACGCAAAGACCAAUAAGAGUGGACCACUAAUGAAGAAUGUUUCAAAAUCGGAUUUUUUCCUUCUGAGACCUUCCCCAGCUAGCCCAAAGUAACUAUUCCACGUGGACAAAGUUGCGGGUAGAAGCUAGUAGAAAAUAAAAUUCA